GUCACUUUGGCCGAGUGGUUAAGGCGAUGCCCUGCUAUCUCCGGAUAUCUUGAUAGGCAUUGUGUUCGCACGCGUAGGUUCGAAUCCUGCAGGUGACG
rnacentral:tRNA from 1 species